rnacentral:rRNA from 1 species
AGCGAACGUUAGCGGCGGGCCUAACACAUGCAAGUCGAGCGAGAAAGUGGCUUCGGCCAUCAGUAAAGCGGCGGACGGGUGAGUAACACGUAGGUAAUCUUCCCUUGAGCGGGGGACAACGUUUCGAAAGGAACGCUAAUACCGCAUACGUUCCCGGGAGCUCUGGCCCCUGGGAGGAAAGCUAGGUCGCAAGAUCCGGCACUCGAGGAGGAGCCUGCGUCGCAUCAGCUAGUUGGGGGGUAACGGCCUACCAAGGCGAAGACGCGUAGCUGGUCUGAGAGGAUGAUCAGCCACACUGGGACUGAGACACGGCCCAGACUCCUACGGGAGGCAGCAGUGGGGAAUAUUGGACAAUGGGCGCAAGCCUGAUCCAGCCACGCCGCGUGAGUGAUGAAGGCCUCGGUCGUAAG